rnacentral:rRNA from 1 species
AGAGUUUGAUCAUGGCUCAGAAUCAACGCUGGCGGCGUGCCUAACACAUGCAAGUCGCACGAGAAAGGGUAGCAAUACCUGAGUACAGUGGCGCACGGGUGAGUAACACGUGAAUUAUCUACCUUCGAGUGGGGAAUAACUGGGAGAAAUCUCAGCUAAUACCGCAUAACACUUACGAGUCAAAGCAGCAAUGCGCUUGAAGAGGAGUUCGCGGCAGAUUAGUUAGUUGGCGGGGUAAUGGCCCACCAAGACGAUGAUCUGUAUCCGGCCUGAGAGGGCGCACGGACACACUGGAACUGAAACACGGUCCAGACUCCUACGGGAGGCAGCAGUGGGGAAUUUUGCGCAAUGGGGGAAACCCUGACGCAGCAACGCCGCGUGGAGGAUGAAAUCCCUUGGGAUGUAAACUCCUUUCGAUCGGGACGAUUAUGACGGUACCGGAAGAAGAAGCCCCGGCUAACUUCGUGCCAGCAGCCGCGGUAAUACGAGGGGGGCAAGCGUUGUUCGGAAUUAUUGGGCGUAAAGGGCGCGUAGGCGGUUUGACAAGUCUGAUGUGAAAUCUCUGGGCUCAACCCAGAGUCUGCAUUAGAAACUGUCGGGCUUGAGUAUGGGAGAGGUGAGUGGAAUUUCCGGUGUAGCGGUGAAAUGCGUAGAUAUCGGAAGGAACACCUGUGGCGAAAGCGGCUCACUGGACCAUAACUGACGCUGAGGCGCGAAAGCUAGGGGAGCAAACAGGAUUAGAUACCCUAGUAGUCC